rnacentral:tRNA from 1 species
UCCUUGUUAGCUCAGUUGGUAGAGCGUUCGGCUUUUAAGUAAUUAUAUACUUAAGCAAGGAUUACCGAAAUGUCAGGGGUUCGAGCCCCCUAUGAGGAG